rnacentral:rRNA from 1 species
GCCUUAAAACGGCGAGUGAAGCGGCAAAAGCUCAAAUUUGAAAUCUGGUACCUUCGGUGCCCGAGUUGUAAUUUGGAGAGGGCAACUUUGGGGCCGUUCCUUGUCUAUGUUCCUUGGAACAGGACGUCAUAGAGGGUGAGAAUCCCGUGUGGCGAGGAGUGCGGUUCUUUGUAAAGUGCCUUCGAAGAGUCGAGUUGUUUGGGAAUGCAGCUCUAAGUGGGUGGUAAAUUCCAUCUAAAGCUAAAUAUUGGCGAGAGACCGAUAGCGAACAAGUACAGUGAUGGAAAGAUGAAAAGAACUUUGAAAAGAGAGUGAAAAAGUACGUGAAAUUGUUGAAAGGGAAGGGCAUUUGAUCAGACAUGGUGUUUUGUGCCCUCUGCUCCUUGUGGGUAGGGGAAUCUCGCAUUUCACUGGGCCAGCAUCAGUUUUGGUGGCAGGAUAAAUCCAUAGGAAUGUAGCUUGCCUCGGUAAGUAUUAUAGCCUGUGGGAAUACUGCCAGCUGGGACUGAGGACUGCGACGUAAGUCAAGGAUGCUGGCAUAAUGGUUAUAUGCCGCCCGUCUUGAAACACAGGACACAAUC